UACAGAGGGUGCAAGCGUUGUUCGGAAUUAUUGGGCGUAAAGCGCGUGUAGGCGGCUUUGCAAGUCGGGUGUGAAAGCCCUCAGCUCAACUGAGGAAGUGCGCCCGAAACUGCAGAGCUUGAGUACCGGAGAGGAUGGCGGAAUUCCCCAAGUAGAGGUGAAAUUCGUAGAUAUGGGGAGGAACACCGGUGGCGAAGGCGGCCAUCUGGACGGAUACUGACGCUGAGACGCGAAAAGCGUGGGUAGCAAACAGG
rnacentral:rRNA from 1 species